rnacentral:misc_RNA from 1 species
GAUGAAGAACGUAGCGAAAUGCGAUAAGUAGUGUGAAUUGCAGAAUUCAGUGAAACAUCGAAUCUUUGAACGCACAUUGCGCCCCUUGGUAUUCCAUGGGGCAUGCCUGUUCGAGCGUCAUUUGUACCUUCAAGCUCUGCUUGGUGUUGGGUGUUUGUCUCGCCUCUGCGUGUAGACUCGCCUCAAAACAAUUGGCAGCCGGCGUAUUGAUUUCGGAGCGCAGUACAUCUCGCGCUUUGCACUCAUAACGACGACGUCCAAAAGUACAUUUUUACACUCUUGACCUCGGAUCAGGUAGGGAUACCCGCUGAACUUAAGCAUAUCAAUAAGCGGAGGA